rnacentral:rRNA from 1 species
UCCUACGGGAGGCAGCAGUAGGGAAUCUUCCGCAAUGGACGAAAGUCUGACGGAGCAACGCCGCGUGAGUGAUGAAGGUUUUCGGAUCGUAAAACUCUGUUGUUAGGGAAGAACAAGUAUCGUUCGAAUAGGGCGGUACCAUGACGGUACCUAACCAGAAAGCCCCGGCUAACUACGUGCCAGCAGCCGCGGUAAUACGUAGGGGGCAAGCGUUGUCCGGAAUUAUUGGGCGUAAAGCGCUCGCAGGCGGUUUUUUAAGUCUGAUGUGAAAGCCCACGGCUCAACCGUGGAGGGUCAUUGGAAACUGGGGAACUUGAGUACAGAAGAGGAGAGUGGAAUUCCACGUGUAGCGGUGAAAUGCGUAGAGAUGUGGAGGAACACCAGUGGCGAAGGCGACUCUCUGGUCUGUAACUGACGCUGAGGAGCGAAAGCGUGGGGAGCGAACAGGAUUAGAUACCCUGGUAGUCCACGCCGUAAACGAUGAGUGCUAGGUGUUAGGGGGUUUCCGCCCCUUAGUGCUGAAGUUAACGCAUUAAGCACUCCGCCUGGGGAGUACGGC